rnacentral:misc_RNA from 1 species
GAUGAAGAAAGUAGCGAAAUGCGAUAAGUAGUGUGAAUUGCAGAAUUCAGUGAAUCAUCGAAUCUUUGAACGCACAUUGCGCCCCUUGGUAUUCCAUGGGGCAUGCCUGUUCGAGCGUCAUUUGUACCUUCAAGCUCUGCUUGGUGUUGGGUGUUUGUCUCGCCUCUGCGUGUAGACUCGCCUCAAAACAAUUGGCAGCCGGCGUAUUGAUUUCGGAGCGCAGUACAUCUCGCGCUUUGCACUCAUAACGACGACGUCCAAAAGUACAUUUUUACACUCUUGACCUCGGAUCAGGUAGGGAUACCCGCUGAACUUAAGCAUAUCAAUAAGCGGAGGA